rnacentral:rRNA from 1 species
CCUACGGGACGCACCAGUGGGGAAUAUUGCACAAUGGGCGCAAGCCUGAUGCAGCCAUGCCGCGUGUAUGAAGAAGGCCUUCGGGUUGUAAAGUACUUUCAGCGGGGAGGAAGGUGUUGUGAUUAAUAACCGCAGCAAUUGACGUUACCCGCAGAAGAAGCACCGGCUAACUCCGUGCCAGCAGCCGCGGUAAUACGGAGGGUGCAAGCGUUAAUCGGAAUUACUGGGCGUAAAGCGCUCGCAGGCGGUCUGUCAAGUCGGAUGUGAAAUCCCCGGGCUCAACCUGGGAACUGCAUCCGAAACUGGCAGGCUAGAGUCUUGUAGAGGGGGGUAGAAUUCCAGGUGUAGCGGUGAAAUGCGUAGAGAUCUGGAGGAAUACCGGUGGCGAAGGCGGCCCCCUGGACAAAGACUGACGCUCAGGUGCGAAAGCGUGGGGAGCAAACAGGAUUAGAUACCCCUGUAGUC